rnacentral:rRNA from 1 species
AAUACCCUAUUAUUUUAAAAGUAAUUAAUAAAAUCUAAUUAGUAAUAGUUAAGUUCUUGAAAAUUAAAGAAUUUGGCGGUAUUUUAGUCUAUUCAGAGGAAUCUGUCCUAUAAUUGAUAAUCCACGAUUUUUUAUACCUAAUUUAUUAAUUUACAUAUCGCCGUAGUUUGAAUAUUUUUUGAAAAUUAUAAUAUUCAUAAUUUAUUUUGAUGAAAAAAUUCAGGUCAAGGUGUAGUUUAUGGUUAGGGAGAGAUGGAUUACAAUAAAAGUAUUUAUUAUGGAUUAAUUAAUUAAAUUUUUUUAUGAAGGUGGAUUUGAAAGUAAUUUUAUUUA